rnacentral:rRNA from 1 species
UACGAGGGGGGCGAGCGUUGUUCGGAAUUAUUGGGCGUAAAGGGUGCGUAGGCGGUUCGGUAAGUUUCGUGUGAAAUCUUCGGGCUCAACUCGAAGUCUGCACGAGAUACUGCCGGGCUUGAGUGUGGGAGAGGUGAGUGGAAUUUCCGGUGUAGCGGUGAAAUGCGUAGAUAUCGGAAGGAACACCAAUAGCGAAGGCAGCUCGCUGGGACGUUACUGACACUGAGGCGCGAAAGCGUGGGGAGCGAACAGG